rnacentral:rRNA from 1 species
AUAUUAGUAAGCAGAGGAAUUUCAUCAAACUUGGAUUUUGUAAGUAGUUGCGAAUGAACACAAACAUGUUCAACCUCAAAAUUGGUGUGCUCCAUGUGUGCACUGACUUGUUUCAGAGUUCAUCACUAUCAAAGCUGCAUGCAAAUGAUUUUUGAAAGGAUACAACAUGGGAUGUGACAUUCAUGUCUGUGUGCUUGCUUUGAUUACAGUGUGUGCUCUAUGAUUCACAUUUCUUGUAACUGAAAUGCAAAUUGCAUGGUAAAGUUCAUGUGAUGUGAUAUGUGUUUGAGAUUCAUGAUGUGCAAGUACCAUGAGGGAAAUGUGAAAAGGACUUUGAAAAGAGAAUUAAACAAAGCCUGCAUUUGCUGAUUGUAAACGUAAGUGAGGAUUGUAAUAGUAAUGUCUCUGCAUCAGUUGACAUGUCUUACGUGUUGUUGUAUGCUUGGCAUUAUGUUCAGCACCACUGAGUGUGCGUACUGGCUUUGAUUGAACUGAUUUCAUGUGGAACUGUUGAAUGAAGAUGCAUGUACACUUGUGUGAAGUAAUGUACGCACCAACUGUGAUCAUGCACUGUUUGCACAUGUUUUCAUGUGCUUCCUUGCUAAUUCUUGAUGUCACUUGGCAUAUUAUAACUACCCUCACUUGACCCGUCUUGA